UUUACUUUGACAGAAUAAUGUAUUAAAUUUAGAAUUUAAAAAAGUAAUUUUAUAUUACAAGUAAUA
rnacentral:tRNA from 1 species